GCGCGCGUAGCUCAGCUGGAUAGAGUACUUGGCUACGAACCAGGCGGUCGGAGGUUCG
rnacentral:tRNA from 1 species